GCCUCUGGAGUAAACUGUGUCACAUUCUUUUGGGUAUAUCCCCAAGAGUGGUAUUGCUGGAUCAUAUGGUAGAUCAAUGUUUACCAAAGCUGCUGUUUAUCAUGUAAAAUAAAACUGUAGAUUAUUUAAAUUUAAUUUUCAAUAUUUAUUCUGCAUCAUAUAGUGUGACUAGUUACUUUGAACUGUUUUCUAAAAAAAUCUUUCUUUUUUUCAUAUAGAAUUACGUCAUCUUGACAGCUUCGAAUUCCUUAAAGCCAUUUUAAACUGAGGCACUAAGAAGAAAUACAGACACUAAAAAGAAAUGCACUCACUAUGAGCACAACUUCUGCAUCUGUCUGAUCAUAUUUAAAGGAACAGAAGAAAUGUUUGUAAUUAAUCUGCCCAGUAAAUACCAGCUUGUAGCACUAGGCAGGUGCAAGUCUAGAUAAAAUUUCUUGCAGCUAAUUUAAACUUUCUACACACCCCAGUAGAUAAUCUCAAUGUAAAUAAUACAUUUCUUCUUGACCCUGUAGUACAAACCAACACAUAGAGGAGGAUCCUGACUUAUAUUCUACCAUGUAUGUUUUGGUAUACUUUUAGCAUUUGUGCAUAGAAUUACAAAAGCAUGUAUGACAAUGGC